rnacentral:sRNA from 1 species
CAAGAAGUAUGCUGAAUUGCUGGAUGAACAUCGUACUGAGCAAAAGAAGUUAAAACUCCUCCAAAAGAAACAGGUACAAAUUCAAAAAGAAAAGGACCAGCUACAAGGUGAACACAGCAGAGCUAUCCUCGCCCGAAGCAAAUUGGAGAGUCUGUGCCGGGAGCUGCAGAGACACAACAAGACUCUGAAGGAAGAGGCGCUUCAGCGGGCACGUGAGGAAGAAGAGAAAAGGAAGGAAAUCACAAGCCAUUUCCAGAGUACCCUCACGGAUAUCCAGGGCCAGAUCGAGCAGCAGAGUGAGCGAAAUAUGAAGCUCUGCCAGGAGAACACAGAGCUUGCAGAAAAGCUGAAAAGCAUCAUCGAUCAGUAUGAGCUCAGAGAGGAGCAUCUGGACAAAAUAUUUAAACACAGAGAACUGCAGCAGAAGCUGGUGGAUGCAAAGCUUGAGCAGGCCCAAGAAAUGAUGAAGGAAGCGGAGGAGCGACACAAACGAGAAAAGGAAUAUUUGCUGAACCAGGCGGCAGAGUGGAAACUUCAGGCGAAAGUGCUGAAGGAGCAAGAGACAGUCCUGCAGGCUCAGCUCACUCUCUACUCAGGAAGGUUUGAAGAAUUCCAGAGCACACUAACUAAAAGCAACGAGGUGUUUGCCACGUUCAAACAGGAAAUGGACAAAACAACUAAGAAAAUGAAGAAGCUGGAAAAGGACACAGCCACGUGGAAAGCCCGAUUUGAGAACUGUAACAAAGCUCUGUUGGACAUGAUUGAAGAGACUUCCUGACUGCUCCAAGAAUUUCAUCGAACAAGACUCAAAGAGGCCCAGCUGCUCUGCGUUUUGAUUCUUCUCCCUCUCUCAGUCCACACUGACCUGGGAGGGGCUUCUCAAACACCACAUUUCCUAGCAUGCUGUGAGAAGAGGACUGUGAGCUAAAAAGGGAGAAAAG